CGUAGGUGGCAAGCGUUGUCCGGAUUUAUGGGUUUAAAGGGUGCGUAGGCGGUUCCAUAAGUCAGUGGUGAAAUACAAUAGCUUAACUAUUGAGGUGCCAUUGAUACUGCGGAACUUGAGUACAGACGAGGUAGGCGGAAUUGACGGUGUAGCGGUGAAAUGCUUAGAUAUCGUCAAGAACACCGAUAGCGAAGGCAGCUUACUAGACUGUAACUGACGCUGAGGCACGAAAGUGUGGGGAUCAAACAGGAUUAGAUACCCUGGUAGUCCACACUGUAAACGAUGAUUACUCGAUGUUGGCGAUACACAGCCAGCGUCUUAGCAAAAGCGAUAAGUAAUCCACCUGGGGAGUACGCCGGCAACGGUG
rnacentral:rRNA from 1 species